rnacentral:rRNA from 1 species
AUUGAACGCUGGCGGCAUGCUUUACACAUGCGAGUCGAACGGCAGCGCGGGCUUCGGCCUGGCGGCGAGUGGCGAACGGGUGAGUAAUGCAUCGGAACGUGCCCAGUAGUGGGGGAUAGCUCGGCGAAAGCCGGAUUAAUACCGCAUACGACCUGAGGGUGAAAGCGGGGGACCGAAAGGCCUCGCGCUAUUGGAGCGGCCGAUGUCGGAUUAGCUAGUUGGUGGGGUAAAGGCUUACCAAGGCGACGAUCCGUAGCUGGUCUGAGAGGACGACCAGCCACACUGGGACUGAGACACGGCCCAGACUCCUACGGGAGGCAGCAGUGGGGAAUUUUGGACAAUGGGGGCAACCCUGAUCCAGCCAUGCCGCGUGCGGGAAGAAGGCCUUCGGGUUGUAAACCGCUUUUGUUCGGGAAGAAAUCCUCUGGGCUAAUACCCCGGGGGGAUGACGGUACCGGAAGAAUAAGCACCGGCUAACUACGUG